rnacentral:rRNA from 1 species
CCGGUGGCGGAUGGGCAUGCGUCGCAUUAGUUAGUUGGCGGUGUAACGGACCACCAAGACGACGAUGCGUAGGGGUUCUGAGAGGAAGGUCCCCCACACUGGUACUGAGACACGGACCAGACUCCUACGGGAGGCAGCAGUGAGGAAUAUUGGUCAAUGGGCGGGAGCCUGAACCAGCCAAGUCGCGUGAGGGAUGACGGCCCUAUGGGUUGUAAACCUCUUUUGCCGGGGAGCAAAGUGCCGCACGUGUGCGGUUUGGAGAGUACCCGGAGAAAAAGCAUCGGCUAACUCCGUGCCAGCAGCCGCGGUAAUACGGAGGAUGCGAGCGUUAUCCGGAUUUAUUGGGUUUAAAGGGUGCGUAGGCGGACGCUUAAGUCAGCGGUAAAAUUGCGGGGCUCAACCUCGUCGAGCCGUUGAAACUGGGUGCCUUGAGUGGGCGAGAAGUACGCGGAAUGCGUGGUGUAGCGGUGAAAUGCAUAGAUAUCACGCAGAACUCCGAUUGCGAAGGCAGCGUACCGGCGCCCAACUGACGCUGAAGCACGAAGGCGUGGGUAUCGAACAGGAUUAGAUACCCUGGUAGUCCACGCAGUAAACGAUGAAUGCUAGUUGUCCGGGGCGAUUGAGUUCUGG